UCCUCUGGAUCCCUGGGUGGGAAAGAACACAGGGCCUGCAGGUAUCACAGGAAAAGAAAGUCCACCACUGCACCAUCUGAAGUCGGCAUGCCCGGUGCUGGCACCACAGACACCAGUGACUUGGAGUCACCUAACACAUAUGGGACUGCAGCCCAGGAGGUGGAGCCUUGGCUGGAGUUGGACCAAAAAUGACACACUGCUACUGCCCCCUACUAGAUGGGUUGAUUCUGGUGCCUACAGUGAAAUAAUUC